rnacentral:rRNA from 1 species
UACGGGGGGGGGCUAGCGUUGUUCGGAAUUACUGGGCGUAAAGGGCGCGUAGGCGGCCUACUAAGUCGGACGUGAAAUCCCUCGGCUCAACCGGGGAACUGCGUCCGAUACUGGUGGGCUCGAAUCCGGGAGAGGGAUGUGGAAUUCCAGGUGUAGCGGUGAAAUGCGUAGAUAUCUGGAGGAACACCGGUGGCGAAGGCGGUCA